ensembl:lncRNA
GAAUAACCCCACUUUGGCGCGUGCAAUGUAAGCAGAAAGUUCUCUCCCGGCCUCUUUCGUCUGUCAUGAAUCUACGAGACAGCCGACAUAAUAUCUGGGCGACAACGGGUGCGCUAACAGUGCAUCUGACAAGAAUCAGGACUGUUCCAGGGCUUUUGGAGCCCUCUUGUCUCUCCGGAUGGUGACAUUCUAUCUUGACAACUCAGAUCCAGCCACCAGGACCUGUGUCGGCAGCACAACAUAUGCAACCCCAUUUAAUUCUCACCGAAUCCUGAAGCUGAAACUCAAAGAAAAUAGAAUUUUAUGAAUAUUUCACAGCUAAGAAAUACAGGAAAAUGGAUUGAGACCCAGAGCUGCCUCAUUUUGAAGGUUACAUUCUUUUCAGUACACCAAACUAUAUCAAAGAUGUUUUUUGGAAGGCAGACUGGUGGGAGUUCGAGUGAAGAGAACCUGAAGCCCAGAGCAGAUCCUUGAAGGAAUAAGCCAGCCUACCAUAAGCUUGACCCAACCAUCAUCAUCACUACCAUCUUCACUUGGGAGAGUUAAUCCUCCCCUGCAUCAGGAAGAGAGAGAAAAAAGCACAAACAGAGAGAGGGAAAAGAAACUGAAGAAAAGAUGAAGGAAGAAGGCAAGAAAGAGGACACGGAUUCUUUUUCUCAGAAACAGAUGAAUUUUCUCUAGGCAGGCAAACUAUUUUUUUUAGAGCAAACUCCAUGGUGGUCUUGGGGGUGAUAGGAAGGACUCAUUGUGGAUUUUGUCAAAGUGGUUACUGGCUUUUUAAUGUUGAGUAACCUUCAGAGGUGGUACAUCUGCUGGAGCAUCUCUUCAUUUGGGAACAUCACACAGUGACAGAAAGCACCCGGGUUUGAAUCCCAGCCACUCACUAUAACAGAUCUGUGACUUGGGACAAGUCCUUGAAUUUCUCUGAGCCUCAAUCUCAACAAGAGUCAAAGGAGAUAAUGAUGCUAACUGGGAACAUUGGAUCAUGACAAGUCAAAUUAUGUAUCACCAGGCAAUCACACGCCGAGAGCUCCUUUCUCACUUUCUUCCACACUUUUACUUUUCACAGGUGGCAGGAAGCUUCAUUUUCUUCAGGACAUGACUUCAUUUUUAAAAUUAGAGUGCAAUAUUUUGACAAAGUUCAAUGAUUUGACAAAGUAUCCCUAGGUACUGAGGACUGAAAGGCAUUGCCCAGUCCCUUAUAGGGAAUCACAGUUCAGUGAAAAAGACAGGAACGGUAACGGAGUAAUGUGCAAAAAUGUCAAAAAGAGAGAACUGGGUACGAUGCUGUGUGUGUUCCCAAAUAAGGGAGGGAAAAAUCUAUUUGAAGAGGGUGCAGCAGAGGAAUAACCUUUGAGAUGGGUUUUAUGAGUACAUGCUUGCCAGGCAAAGACAGGAAAGGAGAGUUCCUGGCAUGAGUUAGCGCUUGGUCCAUUGGUGGUGGGGUGAAGGUUAAUAUUUGGCGUAAGAGUCCCUAAUAGAAGCUAAAAGUGAUUCAAAUGCCACUUCUGCUGCAGACCGUUGCCUGGUCCCCUAUACAGGAAACCCUCUCAAUAGGCUCAGCACUCUAACUGCUCUCCAUUUGUGGAUUUCUUUGACAAUUACUACUUCCUGCUUUGCAUCAGAGAUAUUUGUGUACCUAUUUUACUUUCAUUACACAGCAGAGAAACUAGAGACUGUUUUAUCCUGGUAUUCCCCACAGUGCAUUCAACUUAAAAUUAUAUGUAUACAUAUAUAUGAAAGCCAAUGUAUUUCACUUUCACUCUGUCUAUCAUAGAGGAGUUCUUGGUCAUUUUAUUUAUGGACUUUACACGGGUGAAAAGAAGCUCGGCUUUUUGUUACACAGCUUGUUGCAUAUUAAGCAUUGAUGAGUGUGCUACACCUUCCUCAUCA